UAGCUUGCUAAGGCUGAUGGCGACCGGCGCACGGGUGAGUAACACGUAUCCAACCUGCCGUCUACUCUUGGCCAGCCUUCUGAAAGGAAGAUUAAUCCAGGAUGGGAUCAUGAGUUCACAUGUCCGCAUGAUUAAAGGUAUUUUCCGGUAGACGAUGGAGAUGCGUUCCAUUAGAUAGUAGGCGGGGUAACGGCCCACCUAGUCAACGAUGGAUAGGGGUUCUGAGAGGAAGGUCCCCCACAUUGGAACUGAGACACGGUCCAAACUCCUACGGGAGGCAGCAGUGAGGAAUAUUGGUCAAUGGGCGAUGGCCUGAACCAGCCAAGUAGCGUGAAGGAUGACUGCCCUAUGGGUUGUAAACUUCUUUUAUAAAGGAAUAAAGUCGGGUAUGCAUACCCGUUUGCAUGUACUUUAUGAAUAAGGAUCGGCUAACUCCGUGCCAGCAGCCGCGGUAAUACGGAGGAUCCGAGCGUUAUCCGGAUUUAUUGGGUUUAAAGGGAGCGUAGAUGGAUGUUUAAGUCAGUUGUGAAAGUUUGCGGCUCAACCGUAAAAUUGCAGUUGAUACUGGAUGUCUUGAGUGCAGUUGAGGCAGGCGGAAUUCGUGGUGUAGCGGUGAAAUGCUUAGAUAUCACGAAGAAC
rnacentral:rRNA from 1 species